UGGGGUUGGACUGGAUGGCUCAUGAGGUCUCUUCCAACUCUAUGAUUCUAAGUCAGUCCUUUUUUUGUGACAGGAGAGACUUGAGAAACUGCAAGUUGCUUCUGGUGUGAGAGAAUUGGCUGUCUGCAAGGACGUUGCCCAGGGGACGUCCGGAUGUUUUCUGAUGUUUUAUCGUCCUUCUCUCCUGUCCAUGCAUGGAGCUGGAGCUGAUAGAAGGAGCUCAUCUGUGCUCUUCCUUGACUGGAUUUGAACCGGCAGCCUUCAGGUCAGCAAUCCAACCUUCAGCUUGAACGCCAAGGGAACGGGGCCAGCUCAAGCAAAUGCAAGGAAGAGAGAUCUGGAGGCCUGGUUGAGCCGGACCAUCGUCCAUACAGAGGCACAACUUUUAGGACCCAGAAGAAAUAUGUCCCAGCGUGUGCUAUUUUCCUGUUUAUUUUUUCUCUCCUUUCCCUCUCUUUCCUCUUUCCCCCCUUUCCCCCCCUCGGGGACUGGAAAUACCAGAGCUGAUGUCAUAAAGCCGGCAGCCCGUGCCAGAAAUAAAAAUUUGGAUAAACUCA